AGGUACCUACGGGGGCAGCAGUGAGGAAUAUUGGUCAAUGGGCGCAGGCCUGAACCAGCCAAGUAGCGUGAAGGAUGACUGCCCUAUGGGUUGUAAACUUCUUUUAUAUGGGAAUAAAGUUUUCCACGUGUGGAAUUUUGUAUGUACCAUAUGAAUAAGGAUCGGCUAACUCCGUGCCAGCAGCCGCGGUAAUACGGAGGAUGCGAGCGUUAUCCGGAUUUAUUGGGUUUAAAGGGUGCGUAGGCGGAAUAUCAAGUCAGCGGUAAAAAUUCGGGGCUCAACCCCGUCGUGCCGUUGAAACUGAU
rnacentral:rRNA from 1 species